AACAAAACAAGACAAAUAAACAAAAAAGCCUUAACAGUCACCUUUGUUGCCAGUCCCAACAGAAUGUAGCGCAAACACUAUCUCCUCUGGGGAAGCCUUCUGUGAUCUCAUAGAUGUGGACAGGACCAUGAGUGAAAGAUAUAACUGUACAAGCAUCUACAUCUGCAAUGAAGAUGUUCAUCCAAAAGAGUCUUUGGAAAAAUUUGGGAUCAGCACUGAAUAAGAUCUUGGUUCAAAUUAAGGUUAAAUUCCAAAGGAGGAUGUGUUUUCCCCAUAUGGAGUCUUAAAGGACAUGCCUUUGUUUCCAGCUUCCCAGAGAAGAUAUAUGUUAACACAAACAAAGGAUUUCAUAAUAAAUUUAACUUUUAUAGAGUGACUAAUGCCCUGUGGAGAUAAGGCAGACUCUCAGUCACCUGUGCUUAAUCCAGGCUGCAGAAAUUAUGCCAAGGGCAUACUGACAAACUUUAUUCCUUUGGGGAUGAUGGCAGCAACUUGGUAGGGAAGAGAAAGGGUCUUGGCUUUUUAAAGUCUCCCUGGAACGACUCUCCCUUCUUCUCUGUGAACACAGUUUAGCCUUUAUGUACUUUGGAAGGACACAGAAGUGAGGGUAAAGAACUGGAUAACAACUCUUUUUGUCUUCACUGAUGUGCUACGGUUGAGCCUGUGUACAAAUGAAUUUAUGAGUAAAUAUUAAUGGUCAUGGUCAUUGAAGAUGUUCUAAAGAGAAAAAAAUCUAGAUCUACAGGCUGUUAUGAACACCAAUGAUUGGUAACAUGUUUAAUAAAAUAAGUACAAUAAUCAAUGAAAGACUUAAUAAAAUAAGGUCUCACUAAUAAGUUUUCUGGAAACAAAGUAUAUAUUCCAUAGAUCUGGAAUCAUUUCAUCACAUUUCCAGUUUACAUUUCUACCCCAAAAUCUUUUUUUUAAAUAAAAUUAAUGAUAUUUUGAUUUUAAAAUGCAGUGAUAUUUUGAUUAUAUAAGCACAUACUAUUUCCUUUGGUAUCUUCUCUCUUCCAAUAGUCACAAAAUGUUUAUGCAAAGCUUUAUUGACAAUUGAGAGACCUUGAACAUAGAGAAUAUGAGUUUCUCCCAAAUUUCAAGUAAUGAAUAACUUUUAAGAAGUUAAACACUAUACUCCUUUCAUUCAAAAGAGCAUAUUAGAUUUAUUUCCUUUUCUGGAUCACCAACAGUAAAAACUGUUUCUGAGCUUACAACAUGUUAAAUUUUGGCUCAAGGCAAAUUUACAACAGCAAAGUUUAUGAUAAAAUCUGUCAAAACAUUAACCAUGAUGGCACAAGCUUCAGCUCUUAACAACAGCAGAUAGGGAAGCAGUGCAGUUCACGAAAUGAAGAGCUUAGGGAUGGACAUAAACUUGUACUUCUAGCUCUGAAAAUGCUGGCUGACGGCACAUUAUGAAAAUUUCAAUUCCUCUGUCAUAAUUUCACCCAAAUGUGAAAGUUAUAAAAGAGGACUACGUGUUUUAAUUCCGUGGUUACAAAAAAGAGGAGCGAUCCUAGAAUUAAACACACAAUUCUAAGAAAAAAAUAUCAGCUAAGAGAUCUUUAGAUGCUCAAGACAAAUGCUAAAAUGUACAGCACUUUAAUUUCUUGCCUGAUGAAUUUCAGGAAGAAUUAAAGCUGAAUCUUCUAAGACAAAUAUGAUUCAUUUGGCUAUGUGCCAACAUUUCAGUAUUAGUCAUUAAGAUAAUGUUAAUUUUUCAACAGUGUAAACAAUGUUGGUAUUUUUGGCUUAUUGUUCCAUGAUGAGUAAAGAAGAAAUACUUCCUAGAAAAUGCAAACAAAAUGCUCUUACUGAGUCACUUUCCCACCAGUCAAUUAUGAUCAAGACAGUUAACUUUGUGAGGUACACACUAGAAACAAUUUUGGAGAAGGACAUACAAUAUCAAAAAAUGUAAUUUGGGUAGACACAGCCAGAACAGAUUUAUAAGAAAAUCUCUUCCAAGAAUUUCAAAGUUUUCAUUGUGUUAAUGUCAUGAUAUUCCAAGUAAAAUGCAGCGAGUAUUCUGUGCUUCAGUGUUUCAGAAAGUCUUUCAUACAACUGACCUAUUUAUUGAAGAAUGGGAUGCAUUUCUUAAGAUUUAGGAGCUUCAUUCAGCAAGAUACAUGAUGAAAACUGACGAAGACUGAAGCACAGCAAAAUAAAAUUAGCAACUAAAUUUGAAUCCUAGACAAAACUCAAGGGAAGUUUGUCUGUUCUUCAAGACUAAACUGAAAAUUCGAGUCUACUUGUGAUUUAUUUUAACGGGCUCCGAAAUGGACUAUUUUUUUUUUUUUUUUUGGUAUUGGGAAUCAAACUCAGGACCUUGUGCUUGCCAGGCAGGAGCUGUGACACUGAGCUAUAUCCCCAGCCCACGAAAUGGACUAUUUUGUAAUAGGAACUGUUUUUCUUUACUUACCUCCAUCUUCGGGAAGGUUUAAAAGGAACUGUGUCUGCACACAGGGAGCUGUUGUGGGUUAUAGCUCCGAGACAAGACUCCAUGCAUGACCAAGGUAUUAUAAAUUUCUAUAUUGACACUAUCAUUGAUGUACAAGAAGCUAAUCUAAAGGAUUAGAAAGCAAAUCCAGUUAGUUUUUUUUUAACCCCUGUUGUUCCUUAUUUUCUAAAUCUCACAUUUAAAAAAAAAUUUGUAAAAGCAGGCAACGUGAAUAAAUUCCAAAUUUGGAUGCAAAGAGAUGAUUCUAACUGCCAGUCAGUUCAGUGGAUACAGAUUUAAUAAGGAAGAAAAAGCAUGUAUGAAUGUGUGUCUUUUGUCACUUGUGACAAACACCUCAAAUUUUCCUGCAAAGUAAAAAACGAGAUACUUUGUCAUGCUAUACCAAAGAAUAAUAUAAUAAAGUGUCCUUAGACAUUUAUCCUGAAAAUAAGCAGUAGUAGAUAACUUAGUGUAACCUUAAAGAUCAACUAAAAAUGCACAGAGUUACAAAAUUUUCAUUUGGCUACACAUUUUCACUAAUUCAAUCUCUGCUUGUCUAUUUCAACUUGCUCCAGGCAUAGUCAUUGUCUACUGGCCUCUCACAUAAUCCACCUAACAAAGGGAGGAAUUUUUGUAUAGCAAAAUAUAUAACAUCUCAGUUUUAUUCAUAUCAUUAUAUGCUUUAACUAUUUAAAGUUACCUCUUAAGUAAAAUAAAAAAACUAGGUAACCUGA